AGUGAACGCUGGCGGUAGGCCUAACACAUGCAAGUCGAACGGCAGCACAGUAAGAGCUUGCUCUUACGGGUGGCGAGUGGCGGACGGGUGAGGAAUACAUCGGAAUCUACUUUUUCGUGGGGGAUAACGUAGGGAAACUUACGCUAAUACCGCAUACGACCUACGGGUGAAAGCAGGGGAUCUUCGGACCUUGCGCGAAUGAAUGAGCCGAUGUCGGAUUAGCUAGUUGGGGGGGUGAAGGCCCACCAAGGCGACGAUCCGUAGCUGGUGUGGGAGGAUGGUAAGCCACACUGGAACUGAGACACGGUCCAGACUCCUACGGGAGGCAGCAGUGGGGAAUAUUGGACAAUGGGCGCAAGCCUGAUCCAGCCAUACCGCGUGGGUGAAGAAGGCCUUCGGACUGUAAAGCCCUUUUGUUGGGAAAGAAAAGCAGCAGGUUAAUACCACGCUGUUCUGACGGUACCCAAAGAAUAAGCACCGGCUAACUUCGUG
rnacentral:rRNA from 1 species